CCAGACUCCUACGGGAGGCAGCAGUGGGGGAUAUUGCACAAUGGGGGAAACCCUGAUGCAGCGACGCCGCGUGAGUGAAGAAGUAUUUCGGUAUGUAAAGCUCUAUCAGCAGGGAAGAAAAUGACAGUACCUGACCAAGAAGCCCCGGCUAACUACGUGCCAGCAGCCGCGGUAAUACGUAGGGGGCAAGCGUUAUCCGGAUUUACUGGGUGUAAAGGGAGCGUAGACGGUUAUGUAAGUCUGGAGUGAAAGCCCGGGGCCCAACCCCGGGACUGCUUUGGAAACUGUGUAACUGGAGUACAGGAGGGGCAGGCGGAAUUCCUGGUGUAGCGGUGAAAUGCGUAGAUAUCAGGAGGAACACCGGUGGCGAAGGCGACUUUCUGGACUGUACCUGACGCUGAGGCGCGAAAGCGUGGGUAGCGAACGGGAUUAGAUACCCCUGUAA
rnacentral:rRNA from 1 species